rnacentral:rRNA from 1 species
AGCGUAUAUUAAAGUUGUUGCAGUUAAAAAGCUCGUAGUUGAAUUUCGGGAUCAAUAUGUCGGUCGUGCCUUCGGUACGUACUGGCAUCAUUGGUUUCUCCCUUCUGACAAACCAUGAUGUCAUUAAUUUGGUGUUAUGGGGAGUUAGGACUGUUACUUUGAAAAAAUUAGAGUGUUUAAAGCAGGCAUUAGCUUGAAUACAUUAGCAUGGAAUAAUGAAAUAGGACGUUUGACCCUAUUUUGUUGGUUUUUAGGAUCGACGUAAUGAUUAAUAGGGAUAGUUGGGGGCAUUAGUAUUCAAUUGUCAGAGGUGAAAUUCUUGGAUUUAUUGAAGACUAACUACUGCGAAAGCAUUUGCCAAGGAUGUUUUCUUUAAUCAAGAACGAAAGUUAGGGGAUCGAAGACGAUCAGAUACCGUCGUAGUCUUAACCAUAAACUAUGCCGACUAGGGAUCGGAUGAUGUCAAUUUUUUAAUGACUC